GGGUGUGAGGGCGAUCUGGCUGUGACAUCGGUCACCUCACGCACUAGUCACCAGGGUUGAUUGAGCUAAUCUGGCUGGCUAGGCAGAUGACCCCUUUCUCCCUCGCUGCUCCAAUUGUGUUACUCCUGAAGCUGUGCGCUUGGUCAAAGAGAAUGAUCACCCCCAAGACAGGAGGAUUGUUUUCUCUGUCAGGGUUAUGGGAGUAGCUGCACCCCACUGCUGGAACCUGCAAACAAGCUCUCCAAAACUCCUUAAAUAAAUAUUUGUUGAACAGGGGCCAGGGAUUUCGUUUAAUGGUGCCUUGCAGGCCUUGUUAGUUCAAGGUCCUG
ensembl:misc_RNA 7SK 7SK RNA